UACAGAGGGUGCGAGCGUUGUCCGGAAUCACUGGGCGUAAAGGGCGCGUAGGCGGCCCGGUAAGGUUGCGGUGAAAGCCCGGGGCUCAACCCCGGGUCGGCCGUGGCGAACUGCUGGGCUGGAGCACAGUAGACGGCGGGUGGAAUUCCGGGUGUAGCGGUGGAAUGCGUAGAGAUCCGGAAGAACACCGGUGGCGAAGGCGGUCUGCUGGGCCAAGACUGACGCUGAGGCGCGACAGCGUGGGGA
rnacentral:rRNA from 1 species